rnacentral:rRNA from 1 species
UUGCCUACGGGUGGCUGCAGUGGGGAAUAUUGGACAAUGGGGGCAACCCUGAUCCAGCAAUGCCGCGUGAGUGAUGAAGGCCUUAGGGUUGUAAAGCUCUUUUGCCAGGGAAGAUGAUGACUGUACCUGGAGAAUAAGCCCCGGCUAACUUCGUGCCAGCAGCCGCGGUAAUACGAAGGGGGCUAGCGUUGUUCGGAAUUACUGGGCGUAAAGGGCGCGUAGGCGGCCGUUUAAGUUAGGUGUGAAAGUCCUGGGCUCAACCUGGGGACUGCACUUAAUACUGGAUGGCUUGAAUUCGGGAGAGGAUAGCGGAAUUCCCAGUGUAGAGGUGAAAUUCGUAGAUAUUGGGAAGAACACCGGUGGCGAAGGCGGCUAUCUGGACCGACAUUGACGCUGAGGCGCGAAAGCGUGGGGAGCAAACAGGAUUAGAUACCCGGGUAGUCCA